rnacentral:rRNA from 1 species
AGCGAACGCUGGCGGCAGGCCUAACACAUGCAAGUCGAACGAACUCUUCGGAGUUAGUGGCGGACGGGUGCGUAACACGUGGGAACGUGCCUUUUGGUUCGGAAUAACUCAGGGAAACUUGUGCUAAUACCGAAUGUGCCCUUCGGGGGAAAGAUUUAUCGCCAUUAGAUCGGCCCGCGUCUGAUUCGCUAGUUGGUGAGGUAACGGCUCACCAAGGCGACGAUCAGUAGCUGGUCUGAGAGGAUGACCAGCCACACUGGGACUGAGACACGGCCCAGACUCCUACGGGAGGCAGCAGUGGGGAAUCUUGCGCAAUGGGCGAAAGCCUGACGCAGCCAUGCCGCGUGAAUGAUGAAGGUCUUAGGAUUGUAAAAUUCUUUCACCGGGGACGAUAAUGACGGUACCCGGAGAAGAAGCCCCGGCUAACUUCGUG